rnacentral:rRNA from 1 species
AUUGAACGCUGGCGGCAGGCCUAACACAUGCAAGUCGAACGGUAACAGGAAGCAGCUUGCUGCUUCGCGGAGGAGAGGCGGACGGGUGAGUAAUGUAUGGGAAGCUGCCUGAUGGAGGGGGAUAACUACUGGGAACGGUAGCUAAUACCGCAUAAUGUCGCAAGACCAAAGAGGGGGAGCUUCGGGCCUCUUGCCAUCGGAUGUGCCCAGAUGGGAUUAGCUUGUUGGUGGGGUAACGGCUCACCAAGGCGACGAUCCCUAGCUGGUCUGAGAGGAUGAUCAGCCACACUGGAACUGAGACACGGUCCAGACUCCUACGGGAGGCAGCAGUGGGGAAUAUUGCACAAUGGGCGCAAGCCUGAUGCAGCCAUGCCGCGUGUAUGAAGAAGGCCUUCGGGUUGUAAAGUACUUUCAGCGGGGAGGAAGGGCGUAAAGUUAAUACCUUGGCUCAUUGACGUUACCCGCAGAAGAAGCACCGGCUAACUUCGUG